UACAGAGGUCCCAAGCGUUGUUCGGAUUCACUGGGCGUAAAGGGUGCGUAGGUGGUCGGGUAAGUCUGAUGUGAAAUCUCCGAGCUUAACUCGGAAAUGGCAUUGGAUACUAUUCGGCUAGAGGGUUGGAGGGGGGACUGGAAUACUUGGUGUAGCAGUGAAAUGCGUAGAUAUCAAGUGGAACACCAGUGGCGAAGGCGAGUCCCUGGACAACUCCUGACACUGAGGCACGAAAGCUAGGAGAGCAAACAGG
rnacentral:rRNA from 1 species